rnacentral:rRNA from 1 species
GGGUGGUAAUGCCGGAUGCUCCGGUUGGAUGCAUGUCCUUCCGGGAAAGAUUCCAUCGGUAUGGGAUGGGGUCGCGUCCUAUCAGCUUGAUGGCGGGGUAACGGCCCACCAUGGCUUCGACGGGUAGCCGGCCUGAGAGGGCGACCGGCCACAUUGGGACUGAGAUACGGCCCAGACUCCUACGGGAGGCAGCAGUGGGGAAUAUUGCACAAUGGGCGCAAGCCUGAUGCAGCGACGCCGCGUGCGGGAUGAAGGCCUUCGGGUUGUAAACCGCUUUUGAUCGGGAGCAAGCCCUUCGGGGUGAGUGUACCCUUCGAAUAAGCACCGGCUAACUACGUGCCAGCAGCCGCGGUAAUACGUAGGGUGCAAGCGUUAUCCGGAAUUAUUGGGCGUAAAGGGCUCGUAGGCGGUUCGUCGCGUCCGGUGUGAAAGCCCAUCGCUUAACGGUGGGUCUGCGCCGGGUACGGGCGGGCUGGAGUGCGGUAGGGGAGACUGGAAUUCCCGGUGUAACGGUGGAAUGUGUAGAUAUCGGAAAAGAACACCA